AUUCAGCUGAUGAGUACCAAAAUAGGACGAAACGCGCGUUUUGAAU
rfam:Schistosoma curassoni strain Dakar, Senegal genome assembly, scaffold: SCTD_contig0000761